UAAUAAAAUCUUAAUUCUCUAGUCCCUUCCUGAAUAUGUUCAGUGAUGUGAGUAUUUUUAUAUUAGAUGUCUUGCUUUAUUGCUUUUAGGUAUUCCACUUAAUUAUUUAAUGACAUAAUAGUACCCUCUAAUUCUCACAGGUUCUUCUUUCCUUUGUUGGUGACAAAAAUGAAGGCCAGGAAAAGAACUUCCUGUUUGCUUGAAGUCAAAGGUGUACAUGGGACUCAUGGAAUCCCAUGAAUCGUGAAAUGCCUACUGGCAGGCUAUUCAUCUAAAAAUGCCAAUUUGUUUUCAUGUAUAUUCAUCUGCAUUGGAAUUUGCUUGCCAUUCCAAGUCUCUGCAAAAUUCUCCUUGAGCCAUCCUUGAAAAUCUAAAGAAAACAUACAUCUGAGAGGCCCUUGUUAAUAUCUGCAGAAUCAUUGGCACUGUGUGGAUUGCAUGAAUUGUGCAUGUUGAACUGGUGAACUUUUUCUCAAUAAAAAAAUUCUGGAAAGGAACUCAUUCAGAUGAAGAGACAUUUAAGACAAAGGAGACAGGAACAUGAGGAAUGGAUGAAAAAGCCUUGGACUCAAUAACAGACCUAUUAAUUACAGGAUAAGCAGGAAAAAUAAAUUUCUUUAUACAGUCUAACUUCAUUGGGUCUUUAAAUACAAAAAUUUGUUAAAUUUGGGAGUCUUUGGUUGGAGGAAGGAUGUACAAUGUACUGGAAAACUUCAAACAAAAAAAACUA